rnacentral:rRNA from 1 species
AAACCAGCACCUCAAGUGGUCAGGAGGAUUAUUGGGCCUAAAGCAUCCGUAGCCUGCUGCAUAAGUUUUCGGUUAAAUCCAUACGCUCAACGUAUGGGCUGCCGGGAAUACUGUGCAGCUAGGGAGUGGGAGAGGUAGACGGUACUCGGUAGGAAGGGGUAAAAUCCUUUGAUCUAUUGAUGACCACCUGUGGCGAAGGCGGUCUACCAGAACACGUCCGACGGUGAGGGAUGAAAGCUGGGGGAGCAAACCGGAUUAGAAACCCGAGUAGUCC